rnacentral:rRNA from 1 species
GCUCAGUAACACGUGGAUAACCUACCCUUAGGACCGGGAUAACCUUGGGAAACUGAGGAUAAUACCGGAUAGGCAAUUAUUCCUGCAAUGGUUUUUUGUUUAAAUGUUUUUUCGCCUAAGGAUGGGUCUGCGGCCGAUUAGGUAGUUGGUUAGGUAAUGGCUUACCAAGCCGUUGAUCGGUACGGGUUGUGAGAGCAAGAGCCCGGAGAUGGAACCUGAGACAAGGUUCCAGGCCCUACGGGGUGCAGCAGGCGCGAAACCUCCACAAUGUGAGAAAUCGCGACGGGGGGAUCCCAAGUGCCAUUCUUAACGGGAUGGCUUUUCAUUAGUGUAAAGAGCUUUUGGAAUAAGGGCUGGGCAAGACCGGUGCCAGCCGCCGCGGUAACACCGGCAGCUCUAGUGGUAGCAGUUUUUAUUGGGCCUAAAGCGUCCGUAGCCGGUUUAAUAAGUCUCUGGUGAAAUCCUGUAGCUUAACUGUGGGAAUUGCUGGAGAUACUAUUAGACUUGAGACCGGGAGAGGUUAGAGGUACUCCCAGGGUAGAGGUGAAAUUCUGUAAUCCUGGGAGGACCGCCUGUUGCGAAGGCGUCUAACUGGAACGGUUCUGACGGUGAGGGACGAAAUUUAUGGGCGCGAACCGGAUUAGAUACCCGGGUAGUCCUAACCGUAAAACGAUGCGGACUUUG